ACCAUACCAGCUGAAACAGAGAAGUACCUUCUCCAGACAGCUAGACUGACCCUACCAGCUGAAACAGAGCAGUACCUUCUCCUCCAUACAGCUAGACUGACCAUACCAGCUGAAACAGAGCAGUACCUCCUCCUCCAUACAGCUAGACUGACCAUACCAGCUGAAACAGAGCAGUACCUCCUCCAUACAGCUAGACUGACCAUACCAGCUGAAACAGAGCAGUACCUUCUCCUCCAUACAGCUAGACUGACCAUACCAGCUGAAACAGAGCAGUACCUUCUCCAUACAGCUAGACUGACCAUACCAGCUGAAACAGAGCAGUACCUUCUCCUCCAUACAGCUAGACUGACCAUACCAGCUGAAACAGAGCAGUACCUCCUCCUCCAUACAGCUAGACUGACCAUACCAGCUGAAACAGAGCAGUACCUCCUCCUCCAUACAGCUAGACUGACCAUAACAGCUGAAACAGAGCAGUACCUCCUCCUCCAUACAGCUAGACUGACCAUAACAGCUGAAACAGAGCAGUACCUUCUCCAUACAGCUAGACUGACCAUAACAGCUGAAACAGAGCAGUACCUCCUCCAUACAGCUAGACUGACCCUACCAGCUGAAACAGAGCAGUACCUUCUCCUCCAUACAGCUAGACUGACCAUAACAGCUGAAACAGAGCAGUACCUUCUCCAGACAGCUAGACUGACCAUACCAGCUGAAACAGAGCAGUACCUUCUCCAUACAGCUAGACUGACCAUACCAGCUGAGACAGAGCAGUACCUCCUCCUCCAUACAGCUAGACUGACCAUACCAGCUGAAACAGAGCAGUACCUUCUCCAUACAGCUAGACUGACCAUACCAGCUGAAACAGAGCAGUACCUUCCCCAUACAGCUAGACUGACCAUACCAGCUGAAACAGAGCAGUACCUUCUCCUCCAUACAGCUAGACUGACCAUACCAGCUGAAACAGAGCAGUACCUCCUCCAUACAGCUAGACUGACCAUACCAGCUGAAACAGAGCAGUACCUUCUCCAUACAGCUAGACUGACCAUACCAGCUGAAACAGAGCAGUACCUCCUCCUCCAUACAGCUAGACUGACCAUACCAGCUGAAACAGAGCAGUACCUUCUCCAUACAGCUAGACUGACCAUACCAGCUGAGACAGAGCAGUACCUUCUCCAUACAGCUAGACUGACCAUACCAGCUGAAACAGAGCAGUACCUCCUCCUCCAUACAGCUAGACUGACCAUACCAGCUGAAACAGAGCAGUACCUUCUCCAUACAGCUAGACUGACCAUACCAGCUGAGACAGAGCAGUACCUUCUCCAUACAGCUAGACUGACCAUACCAGCUGAAACAGAGCAGUACCUCCUCCUCCAUACAGCUAGACUGACCAUACCAGCUGAAACAGAGCAGUACCUUCUCCAUACAGCUAGACUGACCGUACCAGCUGAGACAGAGCAGUACCUUCUCCAUACAGCUAGACUGACCAUACCAGCUGAAACAGAGCAGUACCUUCUCCUCCAUACAGCUAGACUGACCAUACCAGCUGAGACAGAGCAGUACCUUCUCCAUACAGCUAGACUGACCAUACCAGCUGAAACAGAGCAGUACCUCCUCCUCCAUACAGCUAGACUGACCAUACCAGCUGAAACAGAGCAGUACCUUCUCCUCCAUACAGCUAGACUGACCAUACCAGCUGAAACAGAGAAGUACCUUCUCCAGACAGCUAGACUGACCCUACCAGCUGAAACAGAGCAGUAG
rnacentral:lncRNA from 1 species